rnacentral:rRNA from 1 species
GACGAACGCUGGCGGCGUGCUUAACACAUGCAAGUCGAACGGAAAGGCCCUGCUUUUGUGGGGUGCUCGAGUGGCGAACGGGUGAGUAACACGUGAGUAACCUGCCCUUGACUUUGGGAUAACUUCAGGAAACUGGGGCUAAUACCGGAUAGGAGCUCCUGCUGCAUGGCGGGGGUUGGAAAGUUUCGGCGGUUGGGGAUGGACUCGCGGCUUAUCAGCUUGUUGGUGGGGUAGUGGCUUACCAAGGCUUUGACGGGUAGCUGGCCUGAGAGGGUGACCGGCCACAUUGGGACUGAGAUACGGCCCAGACUCCUACGGGAGGCAGCGGUGGGGAAUAUUGCACAAUGGGCGGAAGCCUGAUGCAGCAACGCCGCGUGCGGGAUGACGGCCUUCGGGUUGUAAACCGCUUUCGCCUGUGACGAAGCGUGAGUGACGGUAAUGGGUAAAGAAGCACCGGCUAACUACGUG